rnacentral:tRNA from 1 species
GUCUCAGAUAGCUUUAUACUGGAGAGCGCUUGGCGCGUAACCGAAGAGAUCUGGGUUCGAUUCCCAGUCUGGGCU